rnacentral:lncRNA from 1 species
CUUUACCUGAAGUUGUUCCUCCUCCUUUCAUCUGUUAACUUUUUAAUACAGAGACUGCAAGAUCCUAUUGGAUGGAAAACACUCGGGUGGCCAGUUCUUUUCUGGGGACUUCUGUCCUACUGUAAGACACCUAAAUGUGACUAUUGUUAAAGCUUAAAUAAUAGUUCUGAGAAGUCUUAUCUGAAUUGAGUGGGACUGAAUAUAGAGAGCAAAUCAAACCAUGUCAAACCGUGGGUGAGAAGAACUUCAGUGAACUCUUGUGGAACUAGUCAGCCCUGCUCUGUGGUACCUGAACUACGCAGCUUGAAUGAGAGAAGGUGUGGGUGAGAAGGUGGCUCAGUAGUAGUUAACUGUCAGUAUGAACAUUUUAUCAGAGUGCUCCUCUUAAAAGUAAAGCAAUCAUUGCCACAAUAUUUCUUUUGAGCUGCGUGUGGACGCAUAACAGAUCGCAUUAACCUGGAAAAUCCUGGAGGCUGAGCUGACAUCUUGGAAAGGCGACUGCAGCAGGAAUGAUUGGUCAUUUACCAACAGGGGGAGCUGUUACCCACAGGUGAGCAGGAGAGACUUCUUCGGUUGAAGCUGAGCGGUGCCAUGGCUGCUGUGUUGGGAGUGACAUCAGCACGAAGCCUCAAAAAUGUCAAACUGAAUCACAUACAGCCAGCCCUUAGCUGUGAGCAAGACGCUCUACCUUGCACGGUUGUGGCGGGCGGAAGCGACCAUUCCUUUCCCAGACGCCCUCCAGCAGCGCCCCGCGCCGCAGCACCGCCCAAGGCCAGCAGGGGGCGCACCGCGCUCGCGUGCGCGCGGCUGAGCAGGAGCAGGUCGCCUGCGCGUCGUUCGAGAAACUUCCGGAAACAGCCUGGCGGAAGUGACGGCGCUCGUGACGCUACUUCCUGUUUGCGGCUGAGGAAGCCGCUGCUGUUGCCGUUGUCCUGGGCUGCUGGCGGGGAGGUCGCGGCCGCGCUGCGCAGGCACCGCAGCGGGAUUUAA